GUAGAAUUCCAUGUGUAGCAGUGAAAUGCGUAGAUAUAUGGAGGAAUACCAGUGGCGAAGGCGGCCUCCUGGCUCGACAUUGACGCUGAGGUGCGAAAGCGUGGGGAGCAAACGGGAUUAGAUACCCCGGUAGUCCACGCCGUAAACGAUGUCUACUAGCUGUAGGGGUACUUGAGACCUUUGUAGCGCAGCUAACGCAAUAAGUAGACCGCCUGGGGAGUACGGCCGCAAGGUUAAAACUCAAAUGAAUUGACGGGGGCCCGCACAAGCAGUGGAGCAUGUGGUUUAAUUCGAUGCAACGCGAAGAACCUUACCAGGCCUUGACAUCCCCGGAACUUUCUAGAGAUAGAUUGGUGCCUUCGGGAACCGGGUGACAGGUGCUGCAUGGCUGUCGUCAGCUCGUGUCGUGAGAUGUUGGGUUAAGUCCCGUAACGAGCGCAACCCUUGUCCUUAGUUGCCAGCACAUUAUGGUGGGAACUCUAAGGAGACUGCCGGUGACAAACCGGAGGAAGGUGGGGACGACGUCAAGUCAUCAUGGCCCUUACGGCCUGGGCUACACACGUGCUACAAUGGCUAGGACAGACGGCUGCAAACCAGCGAUGGGAAGCUAAUCCGACAAACCUAGUCGUAGUCCGGAUUGGAGUCUGCAACUCGACUCCAUGAAGUCGGAAUUGCUAGUAAUCGCGAAUCAGAAUGUCGCGGUGAAUACGUUCCCGGGCCUUGUACACACCGCCCGUCACACCAUGGGAGUGGGUUGCUCCAGAAGUGGUUAGUCUAACCUUCGGGAGGACGAUCACCACGGAGUGAUUCAUGACUGGGGUGAAGUCGUAACAAGGUAGCCCU
rnacentral:rRNA from 1 species